CAAUAGCGUAUAUUAAAGUUGUUGCAGUUAAAAAGCUCGUAGUUGGAUUUGUGGCGUACGGUGUGUUCCGGGCACUUGUUGUCUGAGUAACCUGCUGUUGCCAUCCUUGGGUGGAACCUGUGUGGCAUUAGGUUGUCGUGCAGGGGAUGCCCAUCAUUUACUGUGAAAAAAUUAGUGUGUUCAAAGCAGGCUUAUGCCGUUGAAUAUAUUAGCAUGGAAUAAUGAGAUAGGACUUUCUUGCUAUUUUGUUGGUUUGCGCAAAGAGGUAAUGAUUAAUAGGGACAGUUGGGGGUAUUCGUAUUCCAUUGUCAGAGGUGAAAUUCUUGGAUUUUUGGAAGACGAACUACUGCGAAAGCAUUUACCAAGGAUGUUUUCAUUAA
rnacentral:rRNA from 1 species